rnacentral:rRNA from 1 species
GACAGAGGUGCCAAGCGUUAGGCGGAAUCACUGGGCUUAAAGGGUGCGUAGGCUGCGCAGCAAGUUGGGUGUGAAAUCCCUCGGCUUAACCGAGGAACUGCGCCCAAAACUGCUGUGCUCGAGGGAGAUAGAGGUGAGCGGAACUUAGGGUGGAGCGGUGAAAUGCGUUGAUAUCCUAAGGAACACCGGUGGCGAAAGCGGCUCACUGGAUCUCUUCUGACGCUGAGGCACGAAAGCUAGGGUAGCGAACGGG